ensembl:snoRNA SNORD33 Small nucleolar RNA Z195/SNORD33/SNORD32 family
UCUGUCUAUGAUGAUAUCUCAUUACCUCCCUUGCUUGAGUUUAACGACCAUGAGAAAACUCACAUGCACUACCAUCUGAGACAGU